rnacentral:sRNA from 1 species
GCUGGGCACAGUGGUGCAUGCCUAUAAUCCCAGAGGUUCUGGAGGCUGAGGCAGGAGGAUCUCGAGUUCAAAGCAAGUCUCAGCAACUUAGCGAGUCCCUAAGCAACUUAGUGAGAACCUGUCUCUA